rnacentral:rRNA from 1 species
GACGGAGGGUGCAAACGUUGUUCGGAAUCACUGGGCGUAAAGGGCGCGUAGGCGGACUUGUAAGUCGGGAGUGAAAUCUCGGAGCUUAACUCCGAAACUGCAUUCGAUACUGCCGUGCUUGAGGACUGGAGAGGAGACUGGAAUUUACGGUGUAGCGGUGAAAUGCGUAGAUAUCGUAAGGAAGACCAGUGGCGAAGGCGGGUCUCUGGACAGUUCCUGACGCUGAGGCACGAAGGUCAGGGGAGCAAACGGG